GCCGAGGUAGCUCAGUUGGUAGAGCACCGCCCUGAAGAGGCGGGUGUCGUCAGUUCGAAUCUGACCCUCGGCACCA
rnacentral:tRNA from 1 species